CUCAAGAUAGCGAUACGCCAAGAAUGUACCUGAACACACCUCCCUGUAAGACCAGCAGGCCUAUGGGCGCACAGAUGGGCAGAGGUGCUAUUUAAAGCGAC